UUGAGCCGUGUGCCGGGAAACUGGCACGCACGGUUCUGAGGGGGCGGCGGCGCAGCAAUGCGCCGUCGCUACCCGGC
rnacentral:ncRNA from 1 species